rnacentral:lncRNA from 1 species
GUAAAUCGAUUUAUUGUCAAACUCGUAGUAAUACAGUACAUAUUAGUUCUUUUUUCCCUUCAAUGGAGGUAAAGUAAAGAACCGAAAUUAACAAAAGAGAAGAGGUCCGGGAGAACGGGAAGGAAGAAUAGUAAAAUGRWCAAGAGAGAAAUGAGAAGAAGAAAAAAGGUACGCUCGCGAUCGAGGACCACGAUUUAUACGUUUAUGAAUGACCGGAAGAAAUUAAGCCCUUUGUGC